rnacentral:rRNA from 1 species
AGAGUUUGAUCAUGGCUCAGGAUGAACGCUAGCGGCAGGCUUAAUACAUGCAAGUCGAGGGGCAGCGCAGGUAGCAAUACUGGGCGGCGACCGGCAAACGGGUGCGGAACACGUACGCAACUUACCCCUAACUAAAGGAUAGCCCAGAGAAAUUUGGAUUAACCCUUUAUAGUACGACUGGUUGGCAUCAACUGGUUGUUAAAACUCCGGUGGUUAGGGAUGGGCGUGCGUCUGAUUAGGUAGUUGGUAGGGUAAUGGCCUACCAAGCCAACGAUCAGUAGCUGAUGUGAGAGCAUGAUCAGCCACACGGGCACUGAGACACGGGCCCGACUCCUACGGGAGGCAGCAGUAAGGAAUAUUGGUCAAUGGACGCAAGUCUGAACCAGCCAUGCCGCGUGAAGGAUGAAGGUCCUCUGGAUUGUAAACUUCUUUUAUCUGGGACGAAACACUGGUUUUCUAACCAGCUUGACGGUACCAGAGGAAUAAGCACCGGCUAACUCCGUGCCAGCAGCCGCGGUAAUACGGAGGGUGCAAGCGUUAUCCGGAUUCACUGGGUUUAAAGGGUGCGUAGGCGGGUAAGUAAGUCCGUGGUGAAAUCCUGCAGCUUAACUGCAGAACUGCCGUGGAUACUAUUUAUCUUGAAUAUCGUGGAGGUUAGUGGAAUAGGUCAUGUAGCGGUGAAAUGCUUAGAGAUGACAUGGAACACCGAUUGCGAAGGCAGCUGGCUACACGAUAAUUGACGCUGAGGCACGAAAGCGUGGGUAGCAAACAGGAUUAGAUACCCUAGUAGUCC